UUUUUAAAAUUUUAUAAAUAUUGAUUCAAAUACAUCCACCAUAUAACCCAAUUCCAAAAUAAAACACGUUCUGUAAUUUCUUUACCCGUCCCAUGAUUUUUUUUUAAGUAGUAAUUUUUAAAAUUUAAGAAUUAUAUUUU
rnacentral:sRNA from 1 species